GGGAGGGGAGGGGAGGCGGGCGGCGCGGAGGUCGCGGCGGCGGCGGCGGCGGCGGCGGAGGCGGAGGGAGGACGGUGGCGAGGGCCGCAGUGCGUCGGCCCGGGGUGGCAUUUAAAGGCGGCAGAGCCCGGCUCGGGAACCGGGGACCGGGAACAGGGCGGGGACGCGGCCCGGGCGCCGCGGCUUGCUCAGCGUGCCCUGCCCCACGGCCAUUGGACCGUGGCUGGAGGCCGGGGAGGGCGGUGGCUCGUCGGCGGGAAGCUGGGUCCCCAAGAUGCCCAUUGCCACUCCUGGCCUGAGGGGGAGGCAUGAGGACAGCGGAGAGAGAGUGGUACCAGCCUUCUCUCAACACAGGUAUGUGUCUAUAUUAUACACGUGAGUGUCCGCAUACGUUUUCCGUGGAGAACUGUGAGAUGUGAAUAGAAUCCGGGGGCUGAAUCGCGCUGUUCUUAAGCUCCCGUAUUUAAGCCCUCGCCCUGACAGUCAUGGUCUUUUGGAAACGGUCUCUUUGGAAGUGAUUAGGAUGAGAUGAGGUCGUGAGUCCAGGGCCCCCGUGAUGGCAUCUGAGGAGGAAGAGACAGACCGGCUGUCUCUCCACAGCGUGAAGACAGUGAGAAAGUAGCUGUCUGGAAGGCAGGUGACUCCCUUGUGUUAGUUACUUGUUCUGAUGCUGUGACAAAAUAUUCUGACAAAGCAACUUAAGGAAGGACCGGCUUUAUUUGGCUCAUAGCUCCAGGGCACAGUCCAUCACGUCAGGGGAGGCAGAAGCCCGAGGGGCUGCUCAUAUUCAUCAGCUGUCAGGGGACGCUGGCGCUGAGAUAGCUUUCUCCACUUCCUGCCGUUCUGCCCCCCAGCCCAGGAAACGGCACUGCCCAAGUUCAGGAAGGAUUUUCCUUUGUCAGUUAACCUGACCAAAAUAAUCCUUCACAGGACUAUUGAAAAUAAAGGUUGGAUUAAAAAAAAUCCUUCACAGACAUGCUCAGAGGAUGGUCUCUGUCACACUGAGUGGCCAUCAGUAUUAACCAUGCAUCUUUAUUAGGAACUAAAUCGUCCAGCCCUUGAUCUGUGGACUUCCCAGCCUCUUGAACUGUGAGAAAUGCAUGUGGCUUGUUUAGGGUUAUGGCAGCUCAGGCAGACUCACACACUUUCUCUACCGUGUGGAUUGCUGUGGUUCCAUUGCUAGAGCCCUUCCAGGGCCCUGGACCUUAAGCUCUGUUGACUUUAAUCCGUCUCUCUCUGGUGCUGGAACUGACUCUAGAGCUGGCUGGGACAAUCACAGGGAUGAGACUCUUUCUCUGAGGCUGCGUGGUUUGAAAGGUUGGUGUAGCUAUCUCCAGGGUGAAGUGCCAUACCCAUGGUGGUGGUACAGGGUUAGCCUGUGUUCCUUGUCCACCCAUCGACUGCCAAGGAAUCAGGAAGCUUGGUCACACCCGCCCAGAUGGCCGAACUGAUCUUCUCCAGCCUGUUAUCCUGACCUCCUGUCCCAAGCCCCUGUGAAUGGUUGGGUGGUCAUCCCUCAAGAGUGUGUGUGUCGGGGUGUGUGUGUGUGUGUGUGUGUGUGUGUGUGUGUGUGUGUGUGCUAAGCUUUCCCUGAAAAGGGCUGAGAAACAGAAGUACUUCCUGUCACCCACUUCCGGCAAGGUCAGCAGAGGACCACAGAGAACAGGGCUGCCGUGGGAUGUUAGAAAUAGAGCAGCCAGGAGGCAUAAACAAGGACACCAGCAGGAACUCACGAGCUUGAGCGGGAAGGAUUGGGUGGCAAGCGUCCUGUUUGAGUGACUAGCCUUAAGAAGCUGGGAGACACCUGGGAAUCUUCCAGAUACUUCAGAGGAUAGUUUAUGUCCAGUGGAAUGGGAAUGAAAGUAGAUUUUGAAUUUGUUUUAUAGGUGUGCGUGACCGUACAUGCCUCCCAGGCCUGAUUCAUGGCUCCUGCAUGUUUCCUCUAGGAUAAAGUCCGAGCCUCCGGUGGCACAGUCUCCUGGUUCUACACCCUCUCUCUACCUCCAUUGCUCAGCCACCAAUUAGAGCCCACCCCACCCCCACCCGGGACUCCCAGCAGGCAUCACUAGCUGGCCCUCUCAGGACCUUGCCCUUCCCUGCUUCUCUGUCUUUGCACAGGCUGCUAACUCGGCCUGCAACCUCCCCAGCUCCUCCCCAGCCCGGUGGCCUUGGAAAGUUCUGUUGAUUCAUCUCAAAUGCACUCACUGUGUCCUCAGAGCUAAUCCCUGACCCUGGACGAGGCAGUGCCCAGCACUCACUGUGCAGCCACCACUGGAGGAACCAGAUGAGGCGGGAGGGCCCUCACCUCGGCUUGCCUAACAGCUCUUGGCUCUCCGGUCCUUCUGUGAGAGUGCCUCUCGGGUUUGUGCCGGGCUCCAUCCUGUAUGAGUUCCGGUGCGUGUGCACACAGUACAUUUGCUGCAUGAAUAAAUGUGUAUGUGGCUGGUUAGGUGACUCGGUGGGUGGAAGCAUUUGUGCGUUUGAUCUCUAGAGCCCACCGUGGAAGAAAACUGACUCUCAAAGGUUGUUCCCUGACCUUCAAACUUGUGUUGUGACAUACAUACACACACACACACACACACACACACACACACACACACACACACACCCUCCCAUACACCCCCCCACACAAACAAUGGUAAAUAAAAAUUUAAACAUUAAAAACAAAUGUGCACGCACAGAUCCCAUGCAUGAGACAGAUACCCUGGAAGCAAAGAAAUUGGUAAGAGAACGUUGGAGGCGCUGUCCAAGAAAUGGUCACCAGACCAGUGAUAGGGCUGCACUGUGACCCCAGCCCACAGGAGGGGUCUUAAACUCUAUUGACUUUAAUCUUUCUCAGGGAUUAAACACACAGGGAGCUGGAGUUUGACAUGACAUCACCACAGCCCUUGAGGAAAGCCGUGGCCGUGUGUUUUGUGUCCUUCCCACUAUGCCCACACUCAUGGGUGAUGUGUGGUUAGAACGGGGUUUCGGCCCCCGUGAAAGCAACUGUACCAGGUACUGAGGAAACCCUGCCUGGUUGUCUCACAGAGCUGAGCAGAAGCAGAGGGGCCUUCCCUCUACCCAGCUACCACAGGAAAUCCAAAGCCACACUUAGGAGCUCCCAUUCUCCUUAGCCAUUGCACUCUCACCUGUUUUUUCUACCCCUUUGGUUGCCAGAUUUGGGCUUCGUGCCUGGAAGCCCGGGCGACCCUUGGUUGUGACAGGGUCAAAGUACAGCAUCCUUCUAGGGGAAGCAGCCUCGGGAUUGUGCAGCUUUUCCUUCUGUUUCCGGUGACUCCCCGGUCCCUUGUUUUGAGAUUGCUGACAUCCAUCUGUGUGUUGGGUCCCCAGGGGAGGUGUCUUUGGCCGUCGCAUUUGUUGCUGAAGCCGUAGCACCUACGCUAGCUGCUGGAGAGGGACGCCUUAUUGAAUAGAAAGUGGACACGUGAAAUGAUGAGUGAACCAUGAACUGUAAGAAGAGCGUCGACAAUCCUUUGGCUGUUCCUCGUCACUCUGUGAUCUGUGGUGACUUAAGUGGCCCUCUCUGAGCAGGGACUUCCCAGAUGGGCUAUUCCAACCUGCCCUGAGGAUUCCAGGACAGCAGGACCAGGGACAGGGAGGGAGAUGGGAGAGUUGCCAGAGGAGGGGCUGAAAGCUCUGUGGGAUCCCUGUUGCCUAGUGAAGUUUCUCUGGCAUCUGCCCUCUGGCCCGGGGCCAGUGCCCACCAAGUAGGAGGUUGGGUUGGGUUACAGUCAGGCCCACAGUCCAGAACAGGGGAGGGGCCUGUGUUUCAGGGUGGGGGCCCCAAGGCAGAGGUCCUCACGAGCUCUGUGGAACAUCCGGUUUUGAAGGACUCCAUUUAGAAAUAGAAGAAAAGCUGGGGAAAUAGGAGGGGUCUGGCAGGCUUCCCAGGAGAACGGCAAGUUCCAGCCGACUGGAGCUCCGGAAGAGGGAAUUUGUGGGUUAGGAUGGGGCAUUGGAGCGAGCAGACAUCUCGGCCACGGUUUCCCUGGCAAAGCUCUGCUCUGAACAGAGCAUAUUUCUGGAAACCAGGAGGGUUUUAUCCUCCUGGGCUGUUGUGCACAUAGCCAGCAUUAUAUUUCCUGUGAACUCGGUCAUAUCGGUGUGUGUUUGUUUUCAAAACAGGAAUGUUAUAAGCUAUUCGCAGUUCUGUCUGGGCAUUCUCCGGAGUAACGGAGAAGUCAGCUCCUCCUCCGUGUUUGAGAGGUGGGAGCAGGCUUUCUCUGCUGUCUCCAGGACAGGCUGGGAACUCAUUCUUCGGGACAGCUCCCUUUUAGCCCACCGGAGCCAGGGACCCAACAAGCGUCUAGGACAGCAGUUCUCAACCUGUGAGUCUCUACCCCUUGGGUGGCUAAUGCCCCUUUCACAGGGUACGCAUAUCAGAUAUCCUGCAUAUCACAUAUUUACACAAUGAUUCAUAACAGUAGCAAAAUUACAGUUAUAGGGAUGAAAAUAAUUUUAUGGUUUUGGAGGGAAGGGUCACCACAACCUGAGGAAUUGUUGCAGCAUUAGGAAGAUUGAGAACCACUGUCCAGGAGCUUUUCAGGCUGUCAGGUGUCAGGAUGUGGGUGUGCAACCACCCUGUUCUGCCUGAUUGAUGGGGAACUGAACUCAAGGGAGGAGACUCCAAGGGAGGACCCAGGUGACAUUAAGGAGGAGGGAGAAAUGGUUAUGCAUUUUUCACUGUGAAAAGGUCUAAAAUUAACUUAAUCCAAAUAAGAUUUAACAUCAGUUGUAGCCUUUCUCUUUUUAGGACCCCAGCCACCAGCUAACCUACCCCAGACGGGAUGGGAGAGGGAAUCCUGGCAUUUCACAGCUUUGACUUGAAACCCCCCUCACUUUGGCGCCCAGAACCGAGGGAGCAGGCCUGGAGACCCUGUAACAGGGAAAAGAUGGGGGUCAAAGGGCACCUCCUCAGGUUUCAGAGGCUAUUGGAGCAUUGUAGGCUGGAGUGUGAGUGAGCAUGGUUGGGAGAACUUGCCACAUUCCAUGGGAGAGUUGAGGAUGUGUAACACCCAUUGUUAAUAUCAUAGAGCACCAGUCCUUCACGCCUUUUGUCUCAAGACUACUUUUCGUUUUUAAAUAUUAGUAAAGACCCCAUAUGACUUGUUCAGGUGAGUUUAACUGGUUGAUAUUUACCAUAUUAGCAGUUAAAAUUAUUAAAAAAAUAAUAAACUCAUGCGUACUAAUAAAAGUAAUGUAUUUAUGAAAAAACCCAUAUUUUCCAAAACAAAUAACAGGCGGAGCUUCCUGAGGAGAAGGGCAGUGUCUGGUGGAAGCCUCAUGCCUGCCCUGCAGGACUGCUGGGAUGCUGUAUGCUCUGCUCUGCUGGGAAAUUCCUGAGUUCUGUAGGGAGAGGAUGGGGCUGAAAGAGACAACACUGCUGUGUAUUAGCAAAUAGCCUUGACUUCACAGGCCCUCCUGAGAGGCCUUUGACAGACCUGACCAUGCUUGGGGGAGGACUGUGGAAGAACUUUGGAACUUGAAGCUAGAAAAGACAUUGAGUGUUGAGAGCUCAGUGAGCUGUUCUGUAGGAGCUUGGAAGAUAAGAUUGUUGAGAGCCGUGCAGAAGACGGAGGCCUGGCUUGUGAAGUUUCAGAGGGAAGUAAAGACUCUACCUGGCCAUUUCUGUGAAGAAUCUGAGGUGUCUGGCCAGCUGGAGCUGAAGAAUCAGCUGCGAUUAACAAGAGAACAGAAACACUGAAGUAAAAUCUUUGCUGUGCUGGGACUAUGGAUGCUGGUCAGCUGGAGCUGAAGAAUCAGCCAUGAUUAAGAAGAGACCAGCAUCAUUGAGGUGGAGUCCUCUGGGAAGUCUUUCCUCAGGGUCAGCACACAGAAAAUAUGUUCCAGAAAUGACAAAGAUUGUACCUUAUUCUGGCAACCAAACUUGGUAGCAUAAGAGUCACCCAGGUAUUGCUGGUUUUGAAGGCAUGAAGGGGUCAUGGAGAGCAGCUGAGGAUUGGCACUGUGUAGCAGGGCUGGAGUCCCUGAAGAGAGCCCAGAAGAGACUGCCAGUGAAAGUGCAACCUAGUUGCAGCAAGAGAUCCAAGCAUGUUUGGAGACACCAGCACCAUGGGAUGACCACCAAGCAGCAGUGGAGUGGAGCCAGCCAAAGCCUAAAAGACAAGCUGGUCGUGUUGCAGAGGGCAGAGUUGGAGAAGUGACCCAAGCCCUUUGGAGGAGCCCAGAAGAUCGUGAGUGAAUCCCAGAUGAUUGGACAUUGAAUUAUUUAUACUGUUGGAGUUUGGUUUUGCUUUGUUUAGUCUGCACUGGCACUUUCCUCUUGAAGUAAGAAAGUAUUUUAUUUAUUUUUGAUUUGACAGGAGUGAACAGUUGAGAGACUUUGAAUUUUAAAAGACUUUGGAUUUUAAGAGACUGCCUCUUUUAAAGAGACUGAAUUUGAAGUGUUUGAUUUUUAAAGACGGGGAACUUUUAAAAAUUGGAAUGUUUCUAUUGUAAGGUUGAUGUUAGUUUGUGAUCUUGGGGAAGAACAAGAAAGGAAAGGUUAUGACUUAACAGUGAUGUGAUUAUGUGUCAAGUUGACAAGGGGUCAAUUGUGCUAGUUUUAUAAAACAUAAAGGUUUUAUGUCACCUUGACACAAGCUAGAGUUAUCUGAAAGGAGGGACCCUCAAAUGAGAAGAUGUCUCCUUAAGUUCUGACUAUAGGGCAUUUUCUUAAUUAGUGAUUGAUAGAGGAGGGCCCAGCCCUUUGUGGGUGGUGCCAUCCCUGGGUUGGUAGUUUGGGGUUCUAUAAAAAUUCAUAGACUAAGCAAGUCAUAAUGAGCAAGCCAGUAAGCAGCACCCCUCCAUGGUCUCUGCAUCAGCUCCCGCCUUCAGGUUCUUCUCCUGUUUGAGUUCCUGUCCUGACUUUCUCUGGUUAUAAACAGCAAUGUGGAAAUGUUUUGCUCCCCAACUUGCUUUUUGGUCAUGGUGUUUCGUUGCAGCAAUAGUAAACCCGAGUAAGAUAACCCUUGGACAAUACUUUGAGAACUGCUAUUCUGCGAGAGAGAUACAAAUAAACAAACAAACCAAAACCAAAACCGCAUCUCCACUCCAGCAGAUAAAUGUGUAAAAUGUCUAUUAUAUUAUCUCAGGUUCAAGUUCUACAGAGAAAGAGGAGGGAAAGGAGGGAAAGAGGAAAGUUAAAUGUCUAAUUGUUAGGGAGUCCUACUCGGGAAUUCUUUUUCAAGAUGAUGGAGGAUAUCAAAUUACUGUGACAUUAGAAAUGUAUUGAGAUACACUCCAAAGAGUGGGGUGUAGGUCAAUUGAAAUGUUUAGCCAUCCCCCCACCCCCCAUGCUUAACCACUACUUCCCCACUCUUUGGAAUUUAACCUUCGACAUCUAUUUAACGGGCACGUGAACAAUCUUAACCACCAACAUAGCAUUCUGUGGUUCAAGAUUCUUUUAAAGCUAUGUAAAUAAAAACCCUUAAAGAGCCCUGA